CACCGCGGUUAUACGAGAGACCCUAGUUAAUAAAAACGGCGUAAAGAGUGGUUAUGGAGUUUUUUUAUAAAGUGGAAUACCCCCUAAACUGUUAUACGCACCCAGGGGUCAGAACUUCUUUCACGAAAGUAACUUUAUUAAUGCCCACCAGAAUCCACGAAAGCCGGGGUA
rnacentral:rRNA from 2 species